GAUGAUCCAGAGGCGUUCAAAAGUGUUUUCUUUCUUCUUCUUCUUCUG
rnacentral:sRNA from 1 species